GCUCGCUUAGCUCAGUUGGUAGAGCGCGUCACUAGUAUGUACGUUCAUGACGAGGUCAGAGAUUCGAAUUCUCUAGCGAGCA